rnacentral:lncRNA from 1 species
UUCGGCGCCCCAUCUACCCCCAAGGUGAGGCCGCGUCCUCGUCCUCCUUCCUUCCUCCUCCGCGGUCCGGCUCGUUCCCGGCGUGAUGUGCGCUUCUCUGUUCGAUAGCAGUGUGUUGGGGGUGCAGAAGUUGCGAGUGGUGCAGAGUAGUGUAGGGUUAUGGGGGUGCCGCGCAGAGGAGGGCUUCCUCCCCCCUCUCUACAGCAGCGCCAUGGCCAUAGGAACCCUCCUCGCCGCCGGCAGCUGGGGUUCCUGUCACCUCGGUCGCGGUAGACGUAGAUCGUCAGAGUAGAGCUUGCGGUUUGCAGCAGGGCUUCCUCCCCGCGUAGGUGGGUACCCAGUAGGUGCGGGUUCUUCUUCUCGCCGUCUCUCAUCGCCGUAUGCACGAGCUCCGCGCCGGCAGUGCAGCGUAGCAACGCCAGACAGGAUUCCCGUCUGUUCUCUGUUGCUGUCGUUCUCAGUAGGCAGAGGGCGACUUCAGAUAACUUUUCCUGUUCGAGUCUCCCCCUUUGUCAGUUAACACUUCGUAGCCCAGUGGUUAUUCCAUGUGCGCGCCGGAUGAGAGGUUGUGGCUUCGAUUCCUCCUCGGCGCUGAGUAUAUUUUGUCAGAUUUUUCCCCUGUUAAUCCUGUGCAAGAGCAGCAGGGACAUGUUACCCUGUACUCUUCCCCCUUUCUAUCGAAAUGGUGGUGCUAGUGUAGUGGCUAGGUGGUGCCCUGUGUACCAGGGGGUGCAGGGUUCGAAUCCCAGGACCCUGAUAUUUUUUGUAGCUAUUUUUUUUCCUUCUUUUCUUGCUGCCUUUAUUUGUUCUUCCUCUUCCUUGGGCUUGGGCAGCAAGCUGGAUUUAAGAUCAUUUUUUUCAUGCUAGUGUAGUUAGUAGCAGUUCCCUUUGUGUGGGAGUUGCACACUUGCAAGUGAUUAGAUGUUGUAUUGCUAGCAUUGUGAGCCUUGUGGAUUGCAUCUAGUGGUGUGGAGUACACUUGGUAGGAGUUGUGCAUGUGAUGUGUUUUCAUCGUGUGUGUUGUGCCUUAAGGAGAUAAGAUGCACUAGCUACUCUUGUGGAGCCCAUCUUUGGGAGUUUUAGGUGGUCUAAGGGAUCUUGUAGUUUUAUUUGCUUGCAUUGAUGUAGUGGGGUGUGGGUGCCUCCCCCUCAUCACAUGUCUUGAGGUGAAGAGUUGCACUAGAUAGCUAUUUAUGUUAGCAUGUGAAGGUGUGGAUGUUGUGGUGGUUGCAUAUAGAGGAUGACAUGAUUACUAGGAAGAUCCUAGUGAUGCUUGUGAGAGUGUGCACCAUCACAUGCCCAUAUGUGAGGGUGUGCUUACCCUCUUGUUAGUUUAAAGUGUCGUUUGUGUGAGCUUGAUGCUAGUGCUUGUGAGAAAUUGUGUGUGUUGGAGUUGUUGAUGUGCAUGACACAAACAUGGGGUUCAAACCCCCAUGUCACUUUGUCAUUGUGCACAUGAAACCCUCCUAUGUAGUUGUCAUCUUAAAAGCAUACCUUAUGGAUUUGCAUUUUCAUUUUGUUGAAAGUUUGGGCUUUGUUUCCAUGAUAUAGAUGGAGCCCAAAGACAUGGAUCUUGGUGUGUUAGUUGUAGGGGUUUGUGCUCAAUACCAUAGUGGUGUCAAACACCUCUUGGGAACUUGUGUGUGCAAACUAUGCCUAGACAAAGUGGGCAUGUGGUUGGGAAAUUCCAGAUUUUUGAACUCUGAAAAUUUCACUAAGUCUGGAAUGCUGAAAACAUUUUGUUCCUCUGUAGAUAAGGUUGUUCUGGUCAUUAUGUUGAGAACUGGACUUAGUUCAGUGCUAGUGUUUUGAACCUGGGAUGUUUGUGAAGCUUCCUGUCAAUUUUCAAGUCAUUUGGAGUCCAGUAGCUUGUGUUUGUAUUGCUGUCAAAAGGCUUCAGAACAGAAACAGAAACUCAGGUGCAGGAAUUUUCACUAAGUCCCUGAGAACUGAUGGUUUUGGGAAAGUUUGUGGUCUUGUAUCUUCUAGAGUUUAAUUCCUUUUGCUGUGAAUCUUGCUGGAGCUUGUAGUGUUCUUGGUUGGCAACAGCCACAUAUAUUAUUUGUCAUAUUUGAAGACCUGUAGCUAUGUUGCAUGUGGCUCACAAACAGCUAAGACGCAGAAACUGGCAGAUUGCGUAGUUUUGACAUUUUGUUCAAAGUUUGUGUUUAAUUGUUGUUGGGGUGUUCUACCAUGCUCCAUUUCAUUCAUGUUGGGUUAAUAUAUGUCUUGGCAACCUGGGAACACCAGAUUUGUGCCAAUUGUGUGUGUGGUGAUGAAUCUUUCACGUAGGGCUUCAUAUCGUGUUUCGUUGAUUCCCGUUGAUCCGUAGCUCCGUUUGCAAAGUUCUUUACAUGCUUUUGCACCGUUUUUACGAGCUGCAUCUGUUCAUAUUAUUCCCAUGCAUGUCCAAAUAGUUUAGUGCAAAGUUCUGUCCAGGAACUUGCUGUAGUUUAUCCUGCUUGUGCUAGUGUUAGAAAUAGUGGUGCAUGCUCAACUUUCAUCUCAUGCAUCAUGUGAUUGUUGCAUUUUGUGGUGCUGCUGUUCAUUGGCUGUUAUUUUUUGUGUUGGGUAGCACCGGGAGCGGAGAACGAUUACGUGGAGUCAGGAGAGUACGUGCAGGACGAUCCAGAACCAUUCCAAGCUGAGGAUAUCACAGGCAAGAUGACAUGACCUUGAUCCCAUAUCUAGACUUGUUAUGUUAGUUUAGAUUCCACGUAAUAUUGCUCGCUGCCUACCACUGAAAAUAUAUUGCCU